rnacentral:tRNA from 1 species
AAAAUUUUAAGUUAAUAAAACUAUUAACCUUCAAAGUUAAAUAUAUAUAUAAAUAUAUAAAUUUUA